rfam:Clostridium perfringens str. 13 DNA, complete genome.
AUAAAAAAAUAAAUUUUGCUUCGUAUAACUCUAAUGAUAUGGAUUAGAGGUCUCUACCAAGAACCGAGAAUUCUUGAUUACGAAGAAAGCUUAUUUGCUU